rnacentral:rRNA from 1 species
UACGGAGGGUGCAAGCGUUAUCCGGAUUUACUGGGUUUAAAGGGUGCGUAGGUGGGCGAGAAAGUCAGUGGUGAAAUCUCCGGGCUUAACCCGGAACUGCAUUUGAAACUGCCUUGCUCGAGUACUGGAGAGGAGACUGGAAUUUACGGUGUAGCAGUGAAAUGCGUAGAUAUCGUAAGGAAGACCAGUGGCGAAGGCGAGUCUCUGGACAGUUACUGACACUGAGGCACGAAGGCCAGGGGAGCAAACGGG